GAUGAACGCUGGCGGCGUGCCUAAUACAUGCAAGUCGAGCGAACGGACGAGAAGCUUGCUUCUCUGAUGUUAGCGGCGGACGGGUGAGUAACACGUGGAUAACCUACCUAUAAGACUGGGAUAACUUCGGGAAACCGGAGCUAAUACCGGAUAAUAUUUUGAACCGCAUGGUUCAAAAGUGAAAGACGGUCUUGCUGUCACUUAUAGAUGGAUCCGCGCUGCAUUAGCUAGUUGGUAAGGUAACGGCUUACCAAGGCAACGAUGCAUAGCCGACCUGAGAGGGUGAUCGGCCACACUGGAACUGAGACACGGUCCAGACUCCUACGGGAGGCAGCAGUAGGGAAUCUUCCGCAAUGGGCGAAAGCCUGACGGAGCAACGCCGCGUGAGUGAUGAAGGUCUUCGGAUCGUAAAACUCUGUUAUUAGGGAAGAACAUAUGUGUAAGUAACUGUGCACAUCUUGACGGUACCUAAUCAGAAAGCCACGGCUAACUACGUGCCAGCAGCCGCGGUAAUACGUAGGUGGCAAGCGUUAUCCGGAAUUAUUGGGCGUAAAGCGCGCGUAGGGCGGUUUUUUAAGUCUGAUGUGAAAGCCCACGGCUCAACCCGUGGAGGGUCAUUGGAAACUGGAAAACUUGAGUGCAGAAGAGGAAAGUGGAAUUCCAUGUGUAGCGGUGAAAUGCGCAGAGAUAUGGAGGAACACCAGUGGCGAAGGCGACUUUCUGGUCUGUAACUGACGCUGAUGUGCGAAAGCGUGGGGAUCAAACAGGAUUAGAUACCCUGGUAGUCCACGCCGUAAACGAUGAGUGCUAAGUGUUAGGGGGUUUCCGCCCCUUAGUGCUGCAGCUAACGCAUUAAGCACUCCGCCUGGGGAGUACGACCGCAAGGUUGAAACUCAAAGGAAUUGACGGGGACCCGCACAAGCGGUGGAGCAUGUGGUUUAAUUCGAAGCAACGCGAAGAACCUUACCAAAUCUUGACAUCCUUUGACAACUCUAGAGAUAGAGCUUUCCCCUUCGGGGGACAAAGUGACAGGUGGUGCAUGGUUGUCGUCAGCUCGUGUCGUGAGAUGUUGGGUUAAGUCCCGCAACGAGCGCAACCCUUAAGCUUAGUUGCCAUCAUUAAGUUGGGCACUCUAAGUUGACUGCCGGUGACAAACCGGAGGAAGGUGGGGAUGACGUCAAAUCAUCAUGCCCCUUAUGAUUUGGGCUACACACGUGCUACAAUGGACAAUACAAAGGGCAGCGAAACCGCGAGGUCAAGCAAAUCCCAUAAAGUUGUUCUCAGUUCGGAUUGUAGUCUGCAACUCGACUACAUGAAGCUGGAAUCGCUAGUAAUCGUGGAUCAGCAUGCUACGGUGAAUACGUUCCCGGGUCU
rnacentral:rRNA from 1 species